rnacentral:lncRNA from 1 species
GGAACUACAUGUGAAUUUUUCUGCUGUAGCCAAAGGCUUAAAAGUUGAUUGUAUAGUAACACGGUACUAUGAGAUUGUAUGUCAGAUUGCUGUGAAAACCUUGUCAAGGUCCUGUAUUUCCAGCUUUGUGAUCCAAUUUAAUACCUAUUUUGUAUGUCAGAUUGCUGUGAAAACCUUGUCAAGGUCCUGUAUGUCAGAUUGCUGUGAAAACCUUGUCAAGGUCCUGUAUUUCCAGCUUUGUGAUCCAAUUUAAUAC